CAAAGAAUAGUUUAAUUUAGAAUACUAGCUUUGGGAGUUAGUGGUUGGGGUUAAAAUCCCCAUUCUUUGA
rnacentral:tRNA from 1 species